rnacentral:rRNA from 1 species
UGUAAGCGUAUACCAAAGUUGUUGCAGUUAAAACGCUCGUAGUCGGAAUUUGGCAGUUCCGGAUGUGUGCACGUCGGGUGCGCACUUCGCGGGGAUUGCUUUUGUGGUCUUGCGUAGGAUGAGGCACUUUUAUUAGUGAACGUCCUCACGCAACCACUUUUUACUGUGAGAAAAUCAGAGUGCUCAAAGCAGGCAUUUGCCGUGAAUGUAUUAGCAUGGAAUAAUAGAAUAGGACUUGGUUCUAUUUUGUUGGUUUGUUGGGACUGAGUAAUGAUUAAGAGGGACAGUUGGGGGCAUUUGUAUUUCGGUGCUAGAGGUGAAAUUCUUAGAUUACCGAAAGACAAACUGCUGCGAAAGCGUCUGCCAAGGAUGUUUUCAUUGA